rnacentral:rRNA from 1 species
AUUUUGGACAAUGGGGGAAACCCUGAUCCAGCCAUCCCGCGUGUAUGAUGAAGGCCUUCGGGUUGUAAAGUACUUUUGGCAGAGAAGAAAAGGUAUCUCCUAAUACGAGAUACUGCUGACGGUAUCUGCAGAAUAAGCACCGGCUAACUACGUGCCAGCAGCCGCGGUAAUACGUAGGGUGCAAGCGUUAAUCGGAAUUACUGGGCGUAAAGCGUGUGUAGGAGGUUCGGAAAGAAAGAUGUGAAAUACAAGGGCUUAACCUUGGAACUGCAUUUUUAACUACCGGGAUAGAGUAUGUCAGAGGGGGGUAGAAUUCCACGUGUAGCAGUGAAAUGCGUAGAGAUGUGGAGGAAUACCGAUGGCGAAGGCAGCCCCCUGGGAUAAUACUGACGCUCAUGCACGAAAGCGUAGGGAGCAAACAG